CAGCAGUAGGGAAUCUUCCACAAUGGACGAAAGUCUGAUGGAGCAACGCCGCGUGAGUGAAGAAGGGUUUCGGCUCGUAAAACUCUGUUGUUAAAGAAGAACAUAUCUGAGAGUAACUGUUCAGGUAUUGACGGUAUUUAACCAGAAAGCCACGGCUAACUACGUGCCAGCAGCCGCGGUAAUACGUAGGUGGCAAGCGUUGUCCGGAUUUAUUGGGCGUAAAGCGAGCGCAGGCGGUUUUUUAAGUCUGAUGUGAAAGCCUUCGGCUCAACCGAAGAAGUGCAUCGGAAACUGGGAAACUUGAGUGCAGAAGAGGACAGUGGAACUCCAUGUGUAGCGGUGAAAUGCGUAGAUAUAUGGAAGAACACCAGUGGCGAAGGCGGCUGUCUGGUCUGUAACUGACGCUGAGGCUCGAAAGUAUGGGUAGCAAACAGGAUUAGA
rnacentral:rRNA from 1 species